UCUCAAACCGUAACCCAGCAAAGAGAAGCACUUUCUUUUCCUUUAGACAACAGAAAGGGCUUCCCUUUGUAGGGUCACAGCAUGAGA
rnacentral:pre_miRNA from 1 species